UACGUAUGGUGCAAGCGUUAUCCGGAAUGACUGGGUGUAAAGGGAGCGUAGACGGUUGUUCAAGUCUGAUGUGAAAGCCCUCGGCUUAACUGGGGGAGUGCAUUGGAAACUGAAGGACUAGAGUAUCGGAGAGGCAAGUGGAAUUCCUAGUGUAGCGGUGAAAUGCGUAGAUAUUAGGAGGAACACCAGUGGCGAAGGCGGCUUGCUGGACAAAAACUGACGUUGAGGCUCGAAAGCGUGGGGAGCAAACAGG
rnacentral:rRNA from 1 species